CUCUUUCUCUCUCUCUUUCUCUGUCUAUCAUGAAUAAAUAAAUAAAAUCUCUAAAAAAAAACUACAGAAAUUAAGACAGUAUGAUACUGGUACAAGUUUAGACAAAUAGAAUAAUGGUCUGGAUUAGAAAAUCUAGAAACUAGAGCCAUACAUGUACAGUCUGUUGUUUAUAACAGUCUCCACUGUGGUAUGUGGGGGGAAAGGAGGCCUUUUCAUUUACUCGUGCUGGGACAAAUCUGUCAUCUGGAAAAUAAUAAAAGCUGAUGCCAACCUUACACCAUACCCAAAAUAUUACUUAAAAUGGAUCAUAGACCUAAAUGUGAACAGCAAAAUAAUAAAACUUUGAGAAGAAAACAUAGAAUACCUUCAUGACCUUAAGGUAAGGACUUUGAACAUCAUACAAUAAGCAAUAACUGGCAAAAAGAUAGAUAAAUUGGACUUAAUUAAAAUUAACUAACAGACACCACUAAGAAUAAAAAGGCAGGCCAUGUACUGGGAGAAGAUACUUGGCAACAAUACAUGUGGUAAAGAAUUCUGUGGCAUCUGUGAAGUUACUUUGCUCAGAGCUCCCUUCUAGAGAGGCUCUACCUCAGCUUGCAAGUGAAGGCCACGUUUCCUUGGAAGCACCUAUCCAAUUAUGAACACAGUUGUGGGACAAAGGCUCGCUAUUUCUAGCCAGUACAGGACUUCUCUAUGGGGAGUCAUGUCAGAACUCCUUAUUGGGCUGGCUGAGAAUUUCUUAGACAUGCAUGCCAGUCUGAUUCUAUUCCUACCCAGUUCUCUUUCCAUUUCCCUUUUCACAGGUGUCAGAACUGUAUCUGAAGACUCUUCCUGCCUAUUCCUUCUCUCUCUCCCCAUUAUAUUUCAUAGGUAUUACCCUGAAUAUAUCCCUUGCAUUGAUCAUUUCAUAUUGGUAUCUGCCUCCCCCAGGACCCAGCUGAUCUACUCAUUCACUCUAAAAAUCAGUAAGAAAAAGAUAACUCAACUUUUUAAGUAAGGAAAAAACUCCGAAAGGCACUUUACAAAAGAGGAUCACCAAAUGACUAAUAAGCGUAUAAAACGGUGCUCAGUCAAAAGGGAAAUGUGUACAAAAAUCAUAAUAAAAUAUUGCUACACCUUCAUCAGAAUGGCUAAAAUUAAAAGGACGAUACCAAGUGUUUGUGAGAAUGUGAAACAAAUGGAAUUCCCUUAAAUUUUUUGUGGGAAUAUAAAUUGGUACAAUAACUUCGGAAAAUUGGUAGUACCUACUAAUCCUAAAAUAAUAAGUAUCGUAUGUUCCAAGAGUACCACUCUUAGAUAUAUACCUAACAGAAAUAAGUACUUUUUUAUCAAAACGUGGGUGAGAAUAUUGAAGGCAUCUUUAUUCUACACGGCAAUAUGAAAACAAAUGUUCAUCAACAACAGAAUACAUAAACUGUUAUAUUCAUACCAUGGAUUUCUCUCCAGUUAUAAAAAGGAAUGUAUUAUUGCCACAGAACAACACGGAUGAAUCUUAUAAAUGAAAAUCUACACACAAAAGAGUACAUACCAUAUGACUCCAUUCAUAAGUGUGCCUUGGAGAUACUAUGGAUUUGGUUCCAGACAACCACAAUAAAGCAAAUACUGCAAUAAACAGUCUUCAUGGCAUCUUCAUCAGGAGUAGAAUCCAUCUCGAGAAACUACUUUCUUUGCUCAUCCUUAAAAAGCAACUCCUCAUCCGUUAGAGUUCUACCAUGAGACUGCAGCAUUUAGUUACAUCUUCAGGCUUCACAUCCAGUUCUGCUAUUUUCACCACAUCUGCAGUUCCUUCCUACGUUGAUGUCUUGAACCUCUCAAACUCUUCCAUGAGGAUUGGAAUAAACUUCUUCCAAACUCA